CGCUGGCGGCGUGCUUAACACAUGCAAGUCGAACGGGAUCCCUGCAGCUUGCUGCCGGGGUGAGAGUGGCGAACGGGUGAGUAAUGCGUGACCGACCUGCCCCAUGCACCGGAAUAGCUCCUGGAAACGGGUGGUAAUGCCGGAUGUUCCACAUGAGCGCAUGCGAGUGUGGGAAAGGCUUUUUGCGGCAUGGGAUGGGGUCGCGUCCUAUCAGCUUGUUGGUGGGGUAACGGCCUACCAAGGCGUUGACGGGUAGCCGGCCUGAGAGGGCGACCGGCCACAUUGGGACUGAGAUACGGCCCAGACUCCUACGGGAGGCAGCAGUGGGGAAUAUUGCACAAUGGGCGCAAGCCUGAUGCAGCGACGCCGCGUGCGGGAUGGAGGCCUUCGGGUUGUAAACCGCUUUUGUUCAAGGGCAAGGCAGGUUUCGGCCGUGUUGAGUGGAUUGUUCGAAUAAGCACCGGCUAACUACGUGCCAGCAGCCGCGG
rnacentral:rRNA from 1 species